rnacentral:rRNA from 1 species
CGGCGGACGGUGAGUAACGCGUGGGCAACCUGCCUUACACAGGGGGAUAACAGUUAGAAAUGACUGCUAAUACCGCAUAAGACCGCAGUACCGCAUGGUACAGCGGUAAAAACUCCGGUGGUGUAAGAUGGGCCCGCGUCUGAUUAGGUAGUUGGUGGGGUAACGGCCUACCAAGCCGACGAUCAGUAGCCGACCUGAGAGGGUGACCGGCCACAUUGGGACUGAGACACGGCCCAGACUCCUACGGGAGGCAGCAG